CCUAGGGGAGGCAGCAGUGGGGAAUUUUGGACAAUGGGCGAAAGCCUGAUCCAGCAAUGCCGCGUGCAGGAUGAAGGCCCUCGGGUUGUAAUCUGCUUUUGUACGGAACGAAAAGCCUGGGGCCAAUACCCCCGGGUCAUGACGGUACCGUAAGAAUAAGCACCGGCUAACUACGUGCCAGCAGCCGCGGUAAU
rnacentral:rRNA from 1 species